GGUAAUAUGGCCGAGUAGGUAUUAGACUGUAAAUCUAAGUACAGAGGUUAAGUCCUCUUAUUACC
rnacentral:tRNA from 1 species